rnacentral:rRNA from 1 species
AUUAAUUUGAGAGUUUGAUCCUGGCUCAGGACGAACGCUGGCGGCGUGCCUAAUACAUGCAAGUCGAACGAACUCUGGUAUUGAUUGGUGCUUGCAUCAUGAUUUACAUUUGAGUGAGUGGCGAACUGGUGAGUAACACGUGGGAAACCUGCCCAGAAGCGGGGGAUAACACCUGGAAACAGAUGCUAAUACCGCAUAACAACUUGGACCGCAUGGUCCGAGCUUGAAAGAUGGCUUCGGCUAUCACUUUUGGAUGGUCCCGCGGCGUAUUAGCUAGAUGGUGGGGUAACGGCUCAC